UGGUGGAGCGAUUUGUCUGGUUAAUUCCGAUAACGAACGAGACUCUGGCCUAUUAAAUAGUAGAGUCAUCUCCGUAAGUGAUUCUUACUUCUUAGAGGGACAAGCGGCGUCUAGCCGCAUGAAAUAGAGCAAUAACA
rnacentral:rRNA from 1 species